UACGUAGGGUGCGAGCGUUGUCCGGAAUUACUGGGCGUAAAGAGCUCGUAGGCGGCUUGUCGCGUCGUCCGUGAAAUCCCCGGGCUCAACCCGGGAACUGCGUCCGAUACUGGCAGGCUUGAAUCCGGGAGAGGGAUGCGGAAUUCCAGGUGUAGCGGUGAAAUGCGUAGAUAUCGAGAGGAACACCUGCGGCGAAGGCGGGUUGCUGGGCCGACACUGACGCUGAGGCGCGAAAGCUAGGGGAGCGAACGGG
rnacentral:rRNA from 1 species